UCUGAUUCUCUAAUACUGGUAAGGGAAGAAUAAUGGAUUUUAUUUUGUGAAGUGGUUUCUUGCAUCAAACGACACAACAUUUUCAGUCACCUCCAUGUCUGAAGGACAAGUGGAUAAACAGGUUAAAGGUCAAGCCCUACAUGUUGUUUUCUUCAAUAGUCUGGUGGAAUGUAGAUCUGCAUUGAACAACACACAUUGACUGCUACUGUAGGCUGGAUGAUAAAACAACUAUUUCCAUGUUAACAUAUUAUGGGAUGCAUUUUCUACAUUGUUGUUGAAGGUAGAUCUACAUUAUGAUACCCACAGUAAGUACCCACAGUACAGCCUCAGUGUUCACAGUAAAACUGUAACUUAAAGCAGGUACAGCCUCAGUGUUCACAGUAAAACUGUAACUUAAAGCAGGUACAGCCUCAGUGUUCACAGUAAAACUGUAACUUAAAGAGGGUACAGCCUCAGUGUUCACAGUAAAACUGUAACUUAACGAGGGUACAGCCUCAGUGUUCACAGUAAAACUGUAACUUAAAGUGGGUACAGCCUCAGUGUUCACAGUAAAACUGUAACU